rnacentral:rRNA from 1 species
GACGAACGCUGGCGGCGUGCUUAACACAUGCAAGUCGAACGGUGAGGCCCUGUUCUUGUGGGGUGCUCGAGUGGCGAGCGGGUGAGUAAAACGUGAGGAACCUGCCCUUGCCUUUGGGAUAACUUCAGUAAACUGGAGCUAAUAUCGGACAGGAGCUCCUGCUUCAUGGUCGUGGUUGGUAAGUUUCGGCUGUUGGUGCUGGACUGGCGGCUUUUGAGCUUGUUGGUGGGGUAGUGGCUUACCAAGGCUUGGAAGGGUAGCCGGCCUGAGAGGGUGACCGGCACCAUUGGGACUGAGACAGGAGCCAGAAGGGUACGGGAGGGAGCAAUGGGGGAUAGAGCGAAGCAGGGAGAAGGCGGAAGCAACGGCGGCGGGUGCGGGAUGACGGUCUUCGGGUUGUAAAGCGCGUUCGCCUGGGACGAAGAGGGAGUGACGGUAGCUGGUAAAGAAGCACCGGCUAACUACGUG